GGGUCACGAAAUAGCAUACCUGCUCCAUUGCGAGACUGGUCUUGUGUUCAAUGAAAAUGUGAACAAUUGUGAUUGGCCUUUCAACACUCCGGGAUGCACUCCUUAAACCUCCUUUCAUCACUUCUGGAUGAACUUCUUAAACCUCCUUUCAACACUUCUGGAUGCACUCCUUAAACCUCCUUUCAACACUCCUGGCUGAACUUCUUAAACCUCCAUUCAACACUCCUGGAUGCACUCAUUAAACUUCCUUUCAGCACACCUGGAUGCACUCCUUAAACCUUCUUUCAUCACUCCUGGAUGAACUUCUUACACCUCCUUUCAACACUCCUGGAUGCACUCAUUAAACUUCCUUUCAGCACACCUGGAUGCACUCCUUAAACCUCCUUUCAACACUCCUGGAUGCACUCCUUAAACUUCCUUUCAACACUCCUGGAUGCACUCCUUAAACUUCCUUUGAACACUCCUGGAUGCACUCAUUAAACUUCCUUUCAGCACACCUGGAUGCACUCCUUAAACCUCCUUUCAACACUCCUGGAUGCACUUCCUUAAACCUCCUUUCAAUACUCCUGGAUGCAUUAUCCUGUAAAUUCAAUAUUUGAAAAACUAAAUAAAAGUUUAAAAGCAAAAUA